GAGAGAGGCCUGCGGCACUAAAGACUGCUAAUCUUUAUACCCAUAGUUAAAAUCUGUGGCUCACUCG
rnacentral:tRNA from 1 species